rnacentral:lncRNA from 1 species
AUUAUAACUAAUUCAUAUGAACUCGGAUGGAGAUAAACUUUAUAAGAAAAUUGUAGAUCUCGAUGAUAUCUACAAGUUUAUAGUACAAACUUUAUUCAUUUGGUAUCAUCUUGUUACUCAAAUAAUCGACACAAUUUUCAAAUCUAAAAUUUAAUAUUAGAUCUGAAAAUUAUGUCCAUUAUUUGAGCAUAAAGAUGGCAGCAAAUGAAAAUAAUCUGAACUACAAAGUUAUAAAUAUCAUCAAGAACUACAAUUUUUAUAUAAAAAUUAUCUUUAUAUGAGUUCAUAUGAAUUAGUUAUAAUUUUUUGAAUGUGUGCUACCCAGUUUCAGAUCUAAAAUUUGAAUUUUAGAUCACGAUUAUUUAAGCACCAAGAUGACACCAAAUGAAAAAAAUUUGAUCUACAAAGUUGUAUAUCUUGUCGAGAUCUACGAUUUUCAUAUAAAGUUUAUAUCCAU